GCCACUUGUGGAUAGCUCAGCUGCCUAGAGCGUGGUGCUGAUAACCCCAAGGUCACAGGUUCGAGUCCCUUAAAGGGCA